UCAGAUAUGGUGUAACGGCUAACAUUACUGCCUUUCACGCAGUAGUUCGGGGUUCGAUGCCCCAUAUGUGAA
rnacentral:tRNA from 1 species